rnacentral:rRNA from 1 species
GACGAACGCUGGCGGCGUGCCUAAUACAUGCAAGUAGAACGCUGAAGAGAGGAGCUUACUCUUCUUGGAUGAGUUGCGAACGGGUGAGUAACGCGUAGGUAACCUGCCUUGUAGCGGGGGAUAACUAUUGGAAACGAUAGCUAAUACCGCAUAACAAUGGAUGACACAUGUCAUUUAUUUGAAAGGGGCAAUUGCUCCACUACAAGAUGGACCUGCGUUGUAUUAGCUAGUAGGUGAGGUAAUGGCUCACCUAGGCGACGAUACAUAGCCGACCUGAGAGGGUGAUCGGCCACACUGGGACUGAGACACGGCCCAGACGCCUACGGGAGGCAGCAGUAGGGAAUCUUCGGCAAUGGGGGCAACCCUGACCGAGCAACGCCGCGUGAGUGAAGAAGGUUUUCGGAUCGUAAAGCUCUGUUGUAAGUCAAGAACGGGUGUGAGAGUGGAAAGUUCACACUGUGACGGUAGCUUACCAGAAAGGGACGGCUAACUACGUG